rnacentral:sRNA from 1 species
UUGAAGGAAAAGGAGGAAGGAGGAAGGAGGAAGGAGAGAGAGACUGAGAGAGGGAGAGGGAGAGGCAGAGAGAGAGAGAGAGAGAGAGAGGCGCAACACCAGCAAACAGUCUCCUAGACGUAGGGCUACAUUGAUGGACCGGAUUGUAGGAUUUCUGCACUGAGUCCCUGCCCCUCUGCCUUUCCUGCCACCCCAAGUCCCUUCCCCUCCUGAAGCAGCAAUCUCUUCCAUCUCCCUCUCUGGUCUCUUCUCCCCACCCCUUUCCUCUGCACCUAACCCCCUCCCCUCCAUCUAACCCCACCUUCACUCUCCUCUCCGAGGGGGGAGGGCCAGGGGGUGGGGAAAGAAAACCCCCAAAUCCCCAGCCCUGGGCAGAGAUGUCGAAGAAACGAAAAGCCCUCGAGGGUGGAGGAGGUGGCGGAGAACCCCAGCUCCCAGAGGAGGAACCCACUGCCUGGUUUGGGGACAGCAGCGAGGAGCAAGGUUUGACAGAUGAAAAAGUGAAGGCAUAUCUUUCUC